UACGUAGGCAGCGAGCGUUGUCCGGAAUUAUUGGGCGUAAAGAGCUUGUAGGCGGUUUGUCGCGUCUGCCGUGAAAAUCCGGGGCUCAACCCCGGACUUGCAGUGGGUACGGGCAGACUAGAGUGUGGUAGGGGAGACUGGAAUUCCUGGUGUAGCGGUGGAAUGCGCAGAUAUCAGGAGGAACACCGAUGGCGAAGGCAGGUCUCUGGGCCACUACUGACGCUGAGAAGCGAAAGCAUGGGGAGCGAACAGG
rnacentral:rRNA from 1 species